CUCUCACUGGCCUGGAAUCUGUCACACGCUAUAGGCCAGUCAGCCAGUGACUUCCUGGAAUCUGCCUGUAUCUUGUCUUCACAGUUGAAGAAUGUGCACCACCACAUCAGGCAUUUUGAACUUGGAUUGUCGGGGAUCGAACUCAGGGCCUUGUGCUUGCAAGUUACCUCUGUCUUCUGAAUUUGAUGGCCCCGUGAGGCUCAUCAGGCUGUUGAAAAGUUGAUUUGUAUUCUGGACACCUCUGAAGAUGAGAAGUUUUCAAGUCUCCUGGUUAAUGGGGGACCUGGGUUCAAUUCCCAGCACCAACAUGAUGGGUCAUAACCACCUGUAACUCCAGUUCCAAAGCAUGUUACACCCUUUUGAG